rnacentral:lncRNA from 1 species
UGCUGUGAAGGGGGUGGAGCAAGGGAAAGCAAAAAUAUCACAAGUAUUUUUAUUUCUUAUAUCAGCUAUGUUUUUCUUGAGUCAGCAUUUGCUUUGUUGCUUUGUUGCUUCAUUUCUUGCUGUAAAUCUGGAACUAUUUUUUAAAAUUCUAAUGAAGUUGCAUCUGACUGGUUAUACUUAUUUUUCAGUGUUUUUGUGGAGAGAUGAUAGUUAAAUCUGGCCAUUCCAUUUUGCUGAGGUCAUCCUAUCUCUAAAUAUGCCUCCCUAAUCCUAAUACAGGAGAUUGCAAGAGGACAACUCGGCUCUAAAAUCGAUGCAUUAACAUGUCAUUGGAAUUGACCUUGCCAAAAGAUGCCUCCCUAAAUCCACAAGAAUCUCCUUGUUUGAACACAGUUUCUAAUCCAGCUGUAAUGAAGACAGACAACAGUCAAAUUAACAACUGAUCAGGAGGAGAAGUUCAUACUCCUUGAGCUGGAUCUAUCUGCACAUGCACCUGGCCCAGGAAGCUGAAAUGGGAGAUCUGAUGAGCAGUGGAGGACUGAACCAAAGCCCUUGGCUUUUGCUCCAUACCAGUCAGAGUCUCAUCAGGAUAUCAUGUUGCAUUGAGUAGUCAUGUCUCCACAGGCUUUUCUUGGCUGCGACUCUUACUCACGUUUUCCUUGGUUUUGCCCACCUUACAGUUUACAGUAGUGGUCAGGUAUUUUGUAGUAUGUCCCUCACUUGGGCUUUGCUUGAUGCUUAUCUCCUGAGAAAACUAGGGAUAUGUAUUUUGGGGAGGAAGGCCACAGAGAUGAAGUGACAUUCUUUUCACAUCAUAUCAAUGCUACAUACUAUCAAAAGGGCUUAUCACUGUUGAUGUUAAUUUUAAUCACCUGGCUAAGAUAUUCUUUUUCAGGAUUUUGACUUUAAAGUUACCCUUUAUGCUUUUCCUUCUCAUAAAGUGCUCUUUGAAAUGAAGUCACUCUGUGCAGCAGACAUUUAAAAAGCAGGAAAUUAUGGUGACAGAGUAUCUGUAUAAAUUAUUUGCAGUUCUUUUAUUUUCAGAGUUUGGAAUUAUAGCACUCCUAUAAAUCUUAUUACUAAUGGUGCCACAAAUUGUGUACUACUGAUAUGUAUUAGUGCACAACUUAAAGCAUGUGGACAUGAGCUGUAUUUGAAAAAACAUUCAGAUGGAAGAGCUACCUGAUUUGAAGUGAAUCUUAAUUGGAACUUAAUGAUGCCUCCUAGUAAUUUACUAUUUUAGCUGAACCUACAGUAUCAGCUGUAGCCCAGAAAAUAUAAGAGCUACAAUUCGUACAAUUCAACAUCAGCUGCCAAGGCCCACCUGGACUGCACCUGCAAAACCAGCUGUGGUUUCUUUGCUCUCACAAUUCAUGUCAGUGUUUUUCAGCCAAUGCAUCACUGGUUUCGAAUUUUAUACUGUUCCUCUCUCAGUCCUCCACCCCUCUAGUUUCUAAAUGAUAGAGAAUAAUUAGGUGAGGUUUAAACUCUCAGGAUUAUUCAGGGUUUGUGGAGAGUAGGAAGGUUUCUUCCAGGUUACAGCACAAUUUAAGGAGCCUGGCAAGAAGCAUCCAAUAUUAGCAAGUAGAAAAGCAGCAUAAGUAUGAGGUUGGAACUUCCCACGAUACUUAGUACAUGGAAAAAAAUGUAGAACAUACCAAAAAAAAAGCAAAUUGUAAAAAAAUUUCACAAAUAAAAAUACUGUUAUGAAAAUUAUAAUUCACAUUUUUAAUAUUUUUUAUUGUAAAAUGUAUAAAAUUUGCCAUUUAACCUCUUAAGUGUACAAUUCAGUGGCAUUAAUUGUAUUUACAGUUUUGUGCAACAAUCACCACUAUUUUCAAAAAUUUUCAUCAAUCCAAACAGAAACUCUGGCAAUUAGUAACAACUCCCCAUUUUUUAUUCCUAAUCCAUCCCCUAGUAAACUCUAAAUCUUGUCUCUGUGAAUCUCCCUGUUCUAAAUAUUUGUAUAAGAGGAAUCAUACAACAUUGACCCUUUUGUGUCUGGCUAAUUUCACUUUGCAUAAUGUUUAAAAGCUUCAUCCAUAUAGUGACAUGUAUGAGAACUUCAUUUCUUUUUUAUGGCUCAAUUAUAUUCCACAGUAUGCACACACACCCCAUUUUGUUUAUCCAUUCAUCUGUUGAUAGACACACGUGGGUUAUUUCCUCCUUUUGGCUGUUAUGAAUAAUGCUGCUAUAAACACUAGUGUGCAUUUAUCUGAAUUCAUGUUUUACAUUCAUUGGGAUACCAAAUUAAAAUGCUGGGUCAUAUGGUAAUUCUGUUUAACAUUUUAAGGUAUCACCAAACUGUCUUCCACAGCAGCUGCAUCAUUUUAAAUGCAGACCAACAAAGUAUGAUUCUCCAAAUUUCCCAGUUACUCGUCAACUCUUGUUCUACAUUUUCUAACUAUAGUGAUACUAGUAGGUAUAACAUUAUGUCAUUGUGAUUUUGAUUUGCAAUGGCCUAAAAACUAAUGGUUUUUUAAUAACUUUCAUGUUGUACUCAUUGGCCAUUUGCAUAUCUUUAGCAAAAUGUCUAUUCAAAUCCUUUGCCUGUUUUUAAUUGGGUUGUUUUGUCUUUUUGUUGUAGAGUUGUAGUUUUUUAAUGUCUUGAUAUAAAUCUCUUACAAGAUACAUACUUCACAGUACAUUAUCUCAUUUUGUAAAUAAGUUAUUUCACUCUCUUAGUGAUGUUUUUAUUAUCUAAAGGUUUUAAUACUUUUUAAAACUUGUACUGUGAAUAUGAUAUGCCCUGUGAUUAACAAAUUUAUUUAUUACUUAAACAACUUAAUUUUUAAAAAUAAUUGCAUGAAUAUUUUUGUCCUAUUUGUUCCAUUCCUACUUCGUGAACACCAAUUAUCUGUUUGACAGAUUGUCAUUUUCCAUGCUUCAUACAAAUUCUUUUUUCUUCUGCAUUUUUUUCUUUCCAAUCUUUGUGAAUGUAUUUAAUUUUCUUGCCUUGAUAUUCUGACUAGAACCUCCAGUAUAAUUUAUUUAUU